CAGCCGCCGCGGGAACACGUAGGCGGCAAGCGUUGUCCGGAAUUAUUGGGCGUAAAGCGAGCGCAGGCGGUUAGAUAAGUCUGAAGUUAAAGGCUGUGGCUUAACCAUAGUACGCUUUGGAAACUGUUUAACUUGAGUGCAAGAGGGGAGAGUGGAAUUCCAUGUGUAGCGGUGAAAUGCGUAGAUAUAUGGAGGAACACCGGUGGCGAAAGCGGCUCUCUGGCUUGUAACUGACGCUGAGGCUCGAAAGCGUGGGGAGCAAACAGGAUUAGAUACCCCAGUAGUCCCUGUCUCUUAUACA
rnacentral:rRNA from 1 species